UAAGCCUGCACCCGAUUUAAACUAGGGGUGGGACGACAAGUUGUAAUAGUCGACUACGACUAGCUAACAUCCGACUAGUCGACUAUUUUUUAUUAAUCGA